rnacentral:rRNA from 1 species
CCUACGGGUGGCAGCAGUGGGGAAUAUUGGUCAAUGGGCGCAAGCCUGACCCAGCAACGCCGCGUGAAGGAUGAAUGCUUUCUGGUUGUAAACUUCUUUUCUCAUGGACGUAAAAAGUGACGUUACCUCAGGAAUAAGCCACGGCUAACUACGUGCCAGCAGCCGCGGUAAUACGUAGGGUGCGAGCGUUAAUCGGAAUUGUUGGGCGUAAAGCUCUCGUAGGCGGUAUGUCAAGUCAGGGGUGAAAUCCAGGGGCUCAACGUGGGAACUGCCGUUGAAACUGGCAAACUGGAGUUCGUGAGAGGAAGGUGGAAUUCGAGGUGUAGGAGUGAAAUGCGUAGAUAUCAGGAGGAACAUCAGUGGCGAAGGCGACUAUCUGG